GAUGAAGAACGUAGCGAAAUGCGAUAAGUAAUGUGAAUUGCAGAAUUCAGUGAAUCAUCGAAUCUUUGAACGCACCUUGCGCCCUUUGGCUAUUCCGAAGGGCAUGCCUGUUUGAGUAUCAUGAACACCUCAACUCUCAUGGCUUGCCAUGAUGAGCUUGGACUUUUGGGGGUCUUGCUGGCCUGUGGUCAGCUCCUCUCAAAUGAAUUAGCCUGCCAGUGUUUGGUGGCAUCACAGGUGUGAUAACUAUCUACGCUUGUGGUUUUCCACCAGGGUAACCUUCAGCAGUGGAGGUUCACUGGAGCUUACAAAUGUCUCUCCUCUGUGAGGACAGCCCUUUGAAUGUUUGAUCUCAAAUCAGGUAGGACUACCCGCUGAACUUAAGCAUAUCAUAAGCGGAGGA
rnacentral:misc_RNA from 1 species